UACGGGGGGGGCAAGCGUUGUUCGGAAUUACUGGGCGUAAAGGGCGCGUAGGCGGUCCGCUAAGUUGGAUGUGAAAACUCUGGGCUCAACCCAGAGCCUGCAUUCAAAACUGACGGGCUAGAGUUCUGGAGGGGUAGCGGAAUUCCUGGUGUAGCGGUGAAAUGCGUAGAUAUCUGGAGGAACACCGGUGGCGAAGGCGGCAUCCUGGACCGGUAUUGACGCUGAGGCGCGAAAGCCAGGGGAGCAAACGGG
rnacentral:rRNA from 1 species